UACAGAGGUCCCAAGCGUUGUUCGGAUUCAUUGGGCGUAAAGGGUGCGUAGGUGGCGUCGUAAAUCGGGUGUGAAAUCUCGGGCUUAACUCCGAAACUGCAUUCGAUACUGCGGUGCUUGAGGACUGGAGAGGAGACUGGAAUUACGGUGUAGCAGUGAAAUGCGUAGAGAUCGUAAGGAAGACCAGUGGCGAAGGCGGGUCUCUGGAAAGUUCCUGACACUGAGGCACGAAGGCCAGGGGAGCAAACGGG
rnacentral:rRNA from 1 species